rnacentral:rRNA from 1 species
UACGAAGGGGGCUAGCGUUGCUCGGAAUCACUGGGCGUAAAGCGCACGUAGGCGGAUCUUUAAGUCAGGGGUGAAAUCCCGGAACUCAACUCCGGAACUGCCUUUGAUACUGAGGGUCUCGAGUUCGGGAGAGGUGAGUGGAACUGCGAGUGUAGAGGUGAAAUUCGUAGAUAUUCGCAAGAACACCAGUGGCGAAGGCGGCUCACUGGCCCGAUACUGACGCUGAGGUGCGAAAGCGUGGGGAGCAAACAGG